rnacentral:tRNA from 1 species
GGACAGGUGGCCGAGUCGGUCUAAGGCGCCACGUUAAGGCCGUGGUCUCGUCGGAGGCAUGAGUUCGAUCUCAUCCUGUUCA